rnacentral:rRNA from 1 species
UACGAAGGGGGCGAUCGUUGUUCGGAAUUACUGGGCGUAAAGCGUACGUAGGCGGCUUUGCAAGUCAGGAGUGAAAUCCCAGGGCUUAACCCUGGAAUUGCUCUUGAGACUGCAAGGCUUGAAUUCGGGAGAGGAUAGCGGAAUAUCCAGUGUAGAGGUGAAAUUCGUAGAUAUUGGAUGGAACACCAGUGGCGAAGGCGGCUAUCUGGCCCGACAUUGACGCUGAGGUACGAAAGCGUGGGGAGCAAACAGG